GAUGAACGCUAGCGGCAGGCCUAAUACAUGCAAGUCGGACGGGAUUAAGGAGCUUGCUUCUGAUGAGAGUGGCGCACGGGUGCGUAACACGUAUGUAACCUACCUUUAUCAGGGGGAUAGCCUCUCGAAAGAGAGAUUAAGCCCGCAUAAAAUCACAGCACAGCAUUGUGUAAUGAUCAAAUAUUUAUAGGAUAAAGAUGGGCAUGCGGAACAUUAGCUAGAUGGCGGGGUAACGGCCCACCAUGGCGACGAUGUUUAGGGGAUCUGAGAGGAUGGCCCCCCACACUGGUACUGAGGCACGGACCAGACUCCUACGGGAGGCAGCAGUAAGGAAUAUUGGGCAAUGGGCGGAAGCCUGAACCAGCCAUGCCGCGUGCAGGAAGACGGCGCUACGGGUUGUAAACUGCUUUUAUACGGGAAUAAACCCAGAUACGUGUAUCUUGCUGAAUGUACUGUAAGAAUAAGGAUCGGCUAACUCCGUG
rnacentral:rRNA from 1 species